AGCCGUUACCGGGAAGGGACGAGACGGACCAGGGUUAGCUAGUUAGCAUACUAACUUCAGUAGGAGAACGAGAAGAAAGGGCACGAUAGAGACAAUAAUUAAUAUUGGCGUUGCUUUGCACUACCGGAGACAGCUCUUGCAGUGGAGAUGUGCAGAGACAGCAGAUUGAAGCAGAUGGCAAGAGUCAUUGUAAUAACAAGUCAAGUGAUACCCUCAGCAGGUCACAUCCACUGGGCUAGACUGCCUUAACAUCAGAGAUCUUCAGCCAGCAAUUUCUACAUGGAAAAUUGAUUUUGGCUUUACGCACAUAAGAAGAAGAUUGCCUGAACAUUUACAAGUUAAGACACAUUUGGGAAAAGGGACUACAUUUUCAAUAAAUGUUCGUAGUACUUUUUCUGUUUGAAUGUGUUCAGCCUGUGAUAAAGAGAAAUCACUCAAAACAUUUGCCAUGAUAAUGGGGCUCAA